GGAGCCCAGGACAUGGGCUGAGACUCGCCUGUCCGGCCUCGCCCGCCAGGGGCUGCAGAGAGAAAAGUUAUUUUCGGAGAUCCGGCCCUGCGAGGGCUGACUCCCUCCCUGCUCGUCCGGACGCCCUGCUCUGUAGGCUGGCCACUUGGGCAAAACUCCUUCGCCCCCCGAGCCUUGGCGUCCCCAGCUGAGAAGUGGGAACCUUUAAUGCCUACCUUGUGGGAGACAACGUAAAUGGAGUUCACGAGGCCGCCUGGGUUGAGUCGUCUGGAAUGUGGGUCCUCGUGUCCGACGAGGUUCCAGGGGAGUGUCAGGGUCAGGGCUGUGACACUGAGACAGCUGAGCCUGUGUUGCCUCGCGUCGCCCGUAGGCGAUACGAUAGGAAACACUUGUCCUUCGGGGCCGGGCUCUGUGCCGAGUGCUUCCCUUGUGUGUCAGGCUCGCACAGCGGACCUGCAGAGGGAGUCGUGGAGACCCAGGGGUCAAGCGACUUGCCCAGAACCACACGGCUGCUUAGUGGGGCCGGCGGAACCCGCCCGUGAAGCCCACGGCGUGGGGCCUGGAGAAAAGGCACCGCCACAGAGGGGGGGAGGGAAUGAAUGAGAGCGUGUGUCCAGCCCCCCAGGAGAGACGAGUGCCGCUGAGCCUGCCGCGCCGGGCUCGGCCCAGCCGCUGUGGGAACCGCGCCCCGCCUGGUGGGGCGGCUAAGGCUAAGGCUAAGAGCGUAGACUUGCAGGACCCGGGCCCUCACCCCUGUGAACCUCAGGAGCCCCGUGACCCACUACUCGCCUCGGCCUCGCGUAGGGCGUCUGUAAACUGGGGAGGACGAGCGGAGAAAGUAAUUAGUAGGCGUCAUUACUAGGAAAAGCGAGACCCGACCCGCGCGCAGCACACGCCCGUGAGAACCGAACACGGAGGGAGAUCCCGCGGGCCGGUCGCCUCUCCGGAGCUCAGCCUCGGCACCUAGAAAAAAGGAGGAUGUGGGCCGCUGGCCUACAGUCCCGCGCUCAGUCUUCCCUCAGCGCCCCCCACCCCCCGCGGGGCCCCUCUUCUCCGCCACCUGGCGUGUUUUGCUCCAGGGCACGUGGCACCUGACGUUUUUAGAGGUUUACUCGUUUGUUGCCUUUUAGCCUAAUAGCGCGCGGGCUCCGCAGCGGGGGCCCUGGUCUGUGCACGCGUAUAUCCCCGGUGCUGAGGACGGUGCCUGGCAUAUGCGCGAUAUUUGGGACCUUUUUGGUUGAAGGACUGGAUGGAUGAAUACGCAGAGAUGCGGUGCGCACGGGUGGGGGUCCUGGCACGUGAGUUCGGGCGCAGGCCUGACUUUCCUUUUUUUUCUGGGCGGCUACCCAGUUGUCCCAGCGUCUAUAGGGGAUGGCCGGUCUCCUCCCCCGUUUCAGAUGCCACCUCUGUCAUACAAAGACGCCAUACCUCAAUGUGCAUGUGCGGAUAGGUAUAUCUUUAGACCGAGUUCUGGGCUUUUCUU